GUUUACUUAAAGUUGUUGCUUUAGAUGAAUUAGUGACUGGUUUGAAAAUUUAAAACUUUGAUACUGCCAGGGCUAAGAUGCAACUGUAGUUGUCUUUUCUGGUUUUGUUGUCUUCUACACACAGGGUUUGCCUGGUGGGUUUGGGAUUCCAGGACGACCCGGGGAGCCUGGUACAAAGGGUGACAAAGGUGAACGAGGUUUUCCAGGACCUCCAGGAAGAUUUAUAGAUCCUGGACCAGUAGAUAGAUUUGGUGAAAAAGGAGAGCCUGGAGCUUCAGGUUUGCCAGGAGCAAAAGGUCAAAAAGGUGAAAAAGGUUUCCCUGGCAUACAAGGAAUCCCAGGACUUCCAGGUCAACCACUUCCAGACAGGGUAGGAUCACCUGGUGUCCCUGGAGAAAGAGGUGAAAAAGGUGAAAAGGGUUCUCCAGGAUUCCCUUUACCUGGACCCCCUGGAAGAGAUGGUUUCCCAGGUCCCCCGGGGUUGCCUGGCCCACCAGGUCCUCCAGGCAAAACAGAUGGGAUUGAUCAAUGCCAGCAGGGAGAACCUGGUGCACCAGGUAGUCCUGGACUUCCAGGAA
rnacentral:lncRNA from 1 species